UACGUAGGGUGCGAGCGUUAAUCGGAAUUACUGGGCGUAAAGCGUGCGCAGGUGGUUCUGAAAGUCAGCUGUGAAAGCCCCGGGCUUAACCUGGGAAUGGCGGUUGAAACUACAGGACUAGAAUCUGGCAGAGGGGGGUGGAAUUCCACGUGUAGCAGUGAAAUGCGUAGAGAUGUGGAGGAACACCGAUGGCGAAGGCAGCCCCCUGGGCUGAGAUUGACGCUCAGGCACGAAAGCGUGGGGAGCAAACAGG
rnacentral:rRNA from 1 species